rnacentral:lncRNA from 1 species
AGAAGGGGAGGAGGGUUCUUUCGGGUGCUAUGCGACUGGUUCCGCUUACCUGCUGAGCAUACUUGAAUGAUUUGGUGUGAUGUGCUCUGAGCCCUCCUUCUGGGUGCUGCGAGGUGUUCUGAGGCAAGCUCCGAAGUUGCGACAUGGAUGUGGUGACCUAUGAUGAUGUACAUGUGAACUUCACUUGGGAAGAAUGGUCUUUGCUGGCUCCUUCACAGAAGAGUCUCUACAAAGAUGUGAUGCUGGAGACCUACAGCAACCUCACUGCUAUAGGCUGCAAUUGGGAAGAGCAUAAUAUUGAAGAAUAUUGUCAAAGUUCUAGAAGACAUGGAAGGCAUGAAAGAAGUCUUACUGGAGAGAAACCCUCUGAAUAUACUCAAUGUGUUAAAGCCUUAGCAUGUCACAGUUAUCCUCAAAAACAUGAAAGAAUUCAUUCUGGAGAGAAACUCUAUGAAGGUAUUCAAUAUGGUGAAACCUUUGUAUCUCACAGUAGUCUCCAAAUACAUAAAAGAACAUAUACUAGAGAAAAACCCUACAAAUGCAAUCUAUGUGAUAAAGCUUUUGCACAUCAUGGUAAACUUCAAAAGCAUGAAAGAAUUCAUACUAGAAAGAAACCUUACCAAUGUAAUCAAUGUGGUAAAGCCUUUGCAUAUCUUAAUAGUUUCCAAAUGCAUAAAAGAACACAUACUAGAGAGAAACCUUACAAAUGUAAUCAAUGUGGUAAAGCCUUUGCAUAUCUUAGUAGUUUCCGAAUGCAUAAAAGAACACAUACUGGAGAGAAACCUUACAAAUGUGAUCAAUGUGGUAAAGCCUUUUCACAUUAUAGUACUCUCCACAAACAUAAAGUAAUACACACUGGAGAGAAACCCUAUGUAUGUAAUCAAUGUGGUAAAGCCUUUGCACGACUAAGUUAUCUCCAUGGACAUAAAAUAACACACACUGGAGAGAAACCCUAUGAAUGUAAUCAAUGUGGUAAAGCCUUUGCACGACAAAGUCAUCUCCAAGUGCAUAAAAGAACACAUACUGGAGAGAAACCUUACAAAUGCAAUCAAUGUGGUAAAGUCUAUAAAUGUCGUAGUAGUCUCAAAAAUCAUAAAAUAAUAUCAGAUACUGGAGAGAAACCCUAUGAAUGUAACCAAUGUGAUAAAGUUUUUGCGUAUCACUGUAUUCUCCAAAAACAUAAAAGAGCACAUACUAGAGAGAAGCUUUACAAAUUUAAUCAAUGUGGUAAAGCCUAUAAAUGCCAUAGUAGUCUCAAAAAUCAUAAAAUAAUAACAAACACUGGAGAGAAACCCUAUGAAUGUAACCAAUGUGGUAAAGCUUUUCCACAUCUUCAUAGACUUAAAAGACAUGAAAAAAUUCAUACUGGAGAGAAGCCUUAUAAAUGUAAUGAAUGUGGUAAAACAUUUGCCUAUCGCAGUUCUCUCCCAAAACAUAAAAGAACACAUACUGGAGAGAAACCCUAUAAAUGUAAUCAAUGUGGUAAAGCCUAUUCCCAACACAGUAAUCUUAAAACACAUAAAAGAAUACAUACUGGAGAGAAACCCUAUGAAUGUAAUCAAUGUGGUAAAGCCUUUAGACUACAGAGUCAUCUGCAAGUGCAUAAAAGAACACAUACUGGAGAGAAACCUUACAAAUGUAAUCAAUGUGGUAAAGCCUUUGCACGGCAAAGUUAUCUACAAGGGCAUAAAAGAAUACAUACUGGAGAGAAACCCUAUGAAUGUAAUCAAUGUGGUAAAGUUUUUGCAUACCCUGGUUAUCUACAAGUACAGAAAAGGAAACAUACUGGAGAGAAACCUUACAAAUGUAAUCAGUGUGGUAAAGCCUUUCCAUGCAUUCGUGAAUGUAAAAGACAUGAAAGAAUUCAUACUGGAGAGAAGUCUUACAAAUGUAAUGAGUGUGGUAAAGCCUUUGGGUAUUACACCAGUCUCCAUAUACACAAAGCAACACACACUGGAGAGAAACCUUAUAAAUGUAAGCAAUGUAAUAAAGCCUUUGCACAUCAUAGUCAACUUCAAAGACAUGGGAGAAUUCACACUGGCGAGAAGCCUUACAAAUGUAAUCAAUGUGGUAAAACCUUUACACAACACAAUUCUCUUCAAAUCCAUAAAAUAAUACAUACUGGAGAGAAACCCUAUGAAUGUAAUCAUUGUGGUAAAGCCUUUGCAUAUUCUGGUUAUCUUCAAGUACAUAAAAGAAUACAUACUGGAGAGAAACCCUAUGAAUGUAAUCAAUGUGGUAAAUCCUUUACAUGUCAGAGUGAUCUUAAAAAACAUGAAAGAAUUCAUACUGAAGAGAACCCUUACAAAUGUUAAUGAAUGUGGUAAAGCCUUUGUGUGUAACACCAGUCUCCGAAAACAUAAAGCAAAACAUACUGGAGAGAAACCUUAUGAA